UUGGUGCCCAAACCUUGAAACCAUUCCAGACCUGGGAAGCCUCACCUCUCUUAACAGUUUGGAGAUUGAGAAUUGCGAAAACCUUGAAUCCAUUCCAGAGUUGGGAAGCCUCACCUCUCUUGAAUCUUUGUCCAUUGAUGAAUGCCCAAAGCUCAAAUCCAUUCCAGAUCUGGGAAGCCUCACCUCUCUUGAGUCUUUGUGCAUUAAGAAAUGCCCAAAGCUCAAAUCAUUGCAAAGCAUGCCACCCUCACUUCUGGAUUUAAGUAUUGACCAUUGUCCAUUGUUAAAAAGACGGUGGAAAAGGGGUAGAGGAAAAUACUGCUCAAAGAUUGCUCAUAUCCCUAAAGUUUACAUAGAUGGAAACUUAAUCUUCAAUUCAAAGAAGGAAGAGUAUCAAGAAUGAGCAUAGUUAUUUGAUUUCACAACAUCCAAUCGGAGAAUCAUCUUACUUCAACCCAGAUGAGUUAAGCUUCUACCACUCAGAGGAGUCAAAUUUAUACCACUCAGAGAUAUAAUUUGAAUCUAAGCCUUUUUAAAUCCCAAAAUGAAGAACCAAUUACAGAAUCAUCUCAUUCCAAUUUUAGAUUCAAUCCAAGAGUGGAGUAAGACAUUUUGAUACAAGAAUACUUGAAAUUUGAAGUUUUUAUACACUAUCUUUCUAAAGUCAUCAGUUUCUUCAACUCUUGUGGGUGAAAGAUUUGAGAUACUUUGUUGAGGUGGAAUGAAAUCAGAUUGCGAUUGGAAUGCCAUAAAAUUUUCCUUAUCCAGAUGCACGAUCAAGCUACCCUCAUCAGCACAAGACUGACUUAGCCUUUAAGGUAGUUCAUCUGGUAUAAAUGAAGAGGAC